rnacentral:rRNA from 1 species
AUGCAAGUCGAACGGAGUCGGCCCCGCAAGGGACUGACUUAGUGGCGAGCGGCUGAGUAACGCGUGAGCAACCUGCCUUUCAGUGGGGGACAACAGUUGGAAACGACUGCUAAUACCGCAUAAUGCAUUUUGACCGCAUGAUCGAGAUGCCAAAGAUUUAUUGCUGAAAGAUGGGCUCGCGUCUGAUUAGAUAGUUGGUGAGGUAACGGCCCACCAAGUCGACGAUCAGUAGCCGGACUGAGAGGUUGAACGGCCACAUUGGGACUGAGAUACGGCCCAGACUCCUACGGGAGGCAGCAGUGGGGAAUAUUGGGCAAUGGGGGAAACCCUGACCCAGCAACGCCGCGUGAAGGAAGAAGGCUUUCGGGUUGUAAACUUCUUUUACCAGGGACGAAGAAAGUGACGGUACCUGGAGAAAAAGCCACGGCUAACUACGUGCCAGCAGCCGCGGUAAUACGUAGGUGGCAAGCGUUGUCCGGAUUUACUGGGUGUAAAGGGCGUGUAGGCGGAGAUGCAAGUCAGAUGUGAAAUCCCCGGGCUUAACCCGGGAACUGCAUUUGAAACUGUAUCCCUUGAGUAUCGGGGAGGCAGGCGGAAUUCCUAG